CUUAAAAACGCAUCAAGCCUCCUCCUCCUCUCCUCUCUCGUUUUUCCUCCCCAACUAGGGUUGCCGUCGCCGCCGCCCCAUCGCUCCUCUGGCACUGCCCACCGGAGAAAGGCUUACUUCUCCCCCAGGGUCUUCUACUCUUGGGGCUAAUCUAACAGGAAGGGCGGCGCUGCUCCUCCCCCGACAGCAAGGCGGGUGUCCUGCGCGCUCACCAGCGAGGGAGAGGUUGCCACCUCACCACCUCUCCUCACCUCCUCCCAGGUUCCUGACUCAAGCGGAGAGGGAUAACUGCAUCCACAGAUUCGUGAAGUUCUUGUCUACGUGUGGUGAAACAGAGGUGACCAACGAGGACGCCGAGGCAAACUUUUCACCGCCUAUCAUGUUAUUAUAAUUCCAGCCAUGGAACAAUGAAGAACUUACCAAGGAAUACCCAAACGUUCUACUGUUAUAAUUAUGCGUGCACUUUGGAUCUAUUGGAUGUCUGGAUGUGCCGCAGAUCCACAUUCACUGAUGCAAAGGACUCAGGAUAAGGAUUUCCUGAUCUUCUGCUUGCCACAUCUUGGUAUUUCUCAUCUAAACAUGAAUUCAGAAUGUUCCCUUUUGCAUCCAAGUAAAACUAUUCAUCGACAUUCUAUCAUUUACCCAAAUCACUCACUUUUCUUAGUGCUGAUAGCGAAUUUACCAUCAGUUACAACUCUGUUUGGUUUUGAGUUACUGUUUCACUAAUUGACACCUGCAAGGAGUCCUGAUGAAGUGAACGAUCUGUGUGCAUGAAUCCGAUUAAGCUGUGUUAGGUUGAUACCUUUUGUGCAGAAGGGUUUGGCGCUGUAAUUCUUGCUCCCUGUGGUAAUUCUGUUGUGUUGCAUGGCUAGCUUGCUGUACAUGGCUCGAUAUGCAAUUGGCCUGGGAUGACAUGGUUUCACCGAUUAGCCGGUUCCUACUGGCUGUUGAUUUGGUCCUUUUUUAUGUAAAUAUAAUUUGCAGGUGUAAUUCUUGGUUAUUUAGAUACUAGCUGUCCUAUACGUACAUUUCUGAUGAUUCAGUUGGUCUUAGUAAUACUGAAGUAUAGAGUAUAGCCUCUAAUUUGUAUGCAAAUAUAAUUCUUUUAUUGCUUUUCAUAGAUUAGUUCAUUCUUUAGGUGUAUAUGCUCUUUAUAGUUUAUGUUUCCUUGCUGUUUAUGUACGUACGCUUAUAGAAUUAUACUAACCCAAAUGUUGUGAGGUGCUUGGUGUCCUAUAUACAGUAAUAUACCAAGUGCAUGUGUGUGCUUGGUGUUCUGCAUACGUGUAGAUGGUUAUAGAUGUGCUACCAUGGCCUAUUUCUUAUCUUAUAGGUUAUGGGCGGUAUCUUAUCUUGCCUAAAUCUGAUUUGAACAAAUGCUACACUUGCUCUCCCCACUCGUUCUUUCUCUCCUCCUCUCACUUCUUUUGCCAGCCAAUGACAUUGCACUGAAGCUCUCACUGGGAUUUAAUAGAUGCUGCACUUAUAUGCUUCGAUGAAGGCGUAGUCCUAGCAUCUCUAGGCUGUCUAAGGACAUCUCCACUCUAAAAUCCUACCUCUGUUCUUCUGGCUCAGAUUAACCUUCCUCUUGUGGUAAGCCUGCAUCUCCUAGCUGGUCACUCAGAGAUUGGCAGCGAUGAGGAGGCUCGGCCCUUGGUGCAGACCUGAACCCCCCAGCGGUGGCAGCGUCGGAUCUCUCCGCCUCACGGGGCUAGGUUUCCCAUCCACGCCGCGACACUGCCGGCAUGACGGCCCGGGUUCGGGCAGCGGCCGUGGUGUUGGGUGCGCUGGUGAGGUCUCUGGGGAACGAGAGGCAAGGGACUGGCACGGCUUUCGGUCAUAGGUUCUGGCAACACCAAGCUGUAGAUCUGAGCCACCGUCUCCACAGUAGGCAUAGCCCUAUGGUAGAUGCUUUGUGUGCUCCCUUGAUGUAGUGUCCUCUUGCCACCAUCCUGAGACAAGAUACAAGCACCAGCGUUCUGCUCCUUUAAUUUGUCUGAACUUUCUAAUAGCCGCGUGUUGACUCUGAGCACACUAUUUUAGCUAAAACUAUGUACCGCAGGUGCAGCUUUGACAUGUUCUGAUGGAAUUACCAACCAAGAUGACAUCAAGCAGCAACAAUAUAGCCUCUGGUCUUUAACAAGGUCAGUUCACCUCACCUUGCAAACUACGACGGCGGCAAGAUCAACCAUCCAACAACACAGUUUCUCUCAUGUCCAAUACUUUCCUCUGCCAAACUGGAUCCAACAUAUUUUCUUGAUGUUUGGCAAUGCACUCUUAAGUGUCUGUGAAUUAUUAACUUGCAAAGACUGCUUGAUGUGGUGGAGAUAGUUACAGUACACCAAGGAAAACAAAUACGAUGUUGAUACAUGCAAGUAUUGUUUUAUUUUCAAUAUAAAAGUGCCAAAUUUAGCUUGUGCCAGGGGCAACAUUCGAGGCUGAAUGUGAUGAAAGCUUGCAGCCGAUAAUUGGCAUGGUCCUUGUUUGAUGGAAAUUCAGCGAGUGAUGGUGAUGUGAUCGAAGAUGACCCUGUUUUGUUGAGAUGGCCGGCUCCGUCCUGCUCCAGCGUUGCCGCCCGUCAACCCAACGAACACAAGAUGCAUUAACAGGAGAAUCACAACGCAGAUUCUGUUCCUCUAUGUUUAUAAGGUCUUUGAAGAAAAUCCAAGAAGGCUGACAGGGUUCGAUCAUCGAGUUGGCUACACAUAGUUUCCUGGGUAAUGUUCACUCUGGUGAAACAUGUUAUGUUGAAGAGAAGUAUGGAAAUCCACCUGUCUUCAUUACUAAGAAUGGUAGGUCGCUGAAGUUUGUAUUUUUGCCAGCUGAUAAGAUUUUUGCCCUUAAAUAAAUUCUCAGUUGAUAAGUUGGUGCAUUACCACAACGACUACAUGCCAGCCUCCUAGGUGCUAUAAGAUGGUUUCAUUUUUCUGUGAUGCCAGAACUGAACCACCAACACUGAGCAUCAGCAACGUAUACCACUGUAAUCGUUGUUCUGGAUGUAAAAGACCAUGAACC